UUCUUCAGGGUUGGGUGAAAUUCCCUACUGGCGGUACAGUCCGCGACCCGUGGUAAGUAGGUUUGCCACGGCUGACCCGGUGCAACUCCGGGACCAACAGUACAGUCUGGAUGAAAGAAGAA
rnacentral:ncRNA from 1 species